rnacentral:siRNA from 1 species
CGGGGACCUGAUUGUUGGUCAUUG